GAUGAACGCUGGCGGCGUGCCUAAUACAUGCAAGUCGAGCGAACAGACGAGGAGCUUGCUCCUCUGACGUUAGCGGCGGACGGGUGAGUAACACGUGGAUAACCUACCUAUAAGACUGGGAUAACUUCGGGAAACCGGAGCUAAUACCGGAUAAUAUAUUGAACCGCAUGGUUCAAUAGUGAAAGACGGUUUUGCUGUCACUUAUAGAUGGAUCCGCGCCGCAUUAGCUAGUUGGUAAGGUAACGGCUUACCAAGGCAACGAUGCGUAGCCGACCUGAGAGGGUGAUCGGCCAAAAUGGAACUGAGACAAGGUCCAGACUCCUACGGGAGGCAGCAGUAGGGAAUCUUCCGCAAUGGGCGAAAGCCUGACGGAGCAACGCCGCGUGAGUGAUGAAGGUCUUCGGAUCGUAAAACCCUGUUAUUAGGGAAGAACAAAUGUGUAAGUAACUAUGCACGUCUUGACGGUACCUAAUCAGAAAGCCACGGCUAACUACGUG
rnacentral:rRNA from 1 species